rnacentral:rRNA from 1 species
AUUGAACGCUGGCGGCAGGCUUAACACAUGCAAGUCGAGCGGAGAUGAGGUGCUUGCAUCUUAUCUUAGCGGCGGACGGGUGAGUAAUGCUUAGGAAUCUGCCUAUUAGUGGGGGACAACAUUCCGAAAGGAAUGCUAAUACCGCAUACGUCCUACGGGAGAAAGCAGGGGGUCUUCGGACCUUGCGCUAAUAGAUGAGCCUAAGUCGGAUUAGCUAGUUGGUGGGGUAAAGGCCUACCAAGGCGACGAUCUGUAGCGGGUCUGAGAGGAUGAUCCGCCACACUGGGACUGAGACACGGCCCAGACUCCUACGGGAGGUAGCAGUGGGGAAUAUUGGACAAUGGGGGGAACCCUGAUACAGCCAUGCCGCGUGUGUGAAGAAGGCCUUAUGGUUGUAAAGCACUUUAAGCGAGGAGGAGGCUACUGAGACUAAUACUCUUGGAUAGUGGACGUUACUCGCAGAAUAAGCACCGGCUAACUCUGUGCCAGCAGCCGCCGUAAAAC